UGAUGGUUUACUUUGAUAAAUUGUUACUUGGAUGGAGAGUUGUCUCAUUGGCACUCAUACCACAUCUUCCUAUAUCGAUUGACAUGUCUGUGUCCUCUCUACUAUUGUUCCCUCAAAUAUCGUCAUUUCAGCUUUAUGGACCAGCUUUGUAAUUUCAGGAUUUGUUACUAACAGAGCUUCCUAUGCCUCUAAAUCAACCCCUACCACCACGCCCAC
rnacentral:lncRNA from 1 species